UCCGCAGUUCCCAUUCAGAUGCCGGCCCGUCCGGAAUAAGUGCGUCGUGUGUUCUUCAUCUUUGGGCUGUGCUUUAUAUACACCCAUGCACAUACGUACGUCUGCGUGCUCGUCUCCGUCCGGUUCUUCAUCUUCUUCUUCUUCUUCUUUGUCGUCGUCGGCAGUUGGACGAGUGCAGGAGUAACUGUUGUUUGCGUGUUGCGUUUUGUUUUGGAGAGCGGACAAAGCGAUUAUUUAAUUUACCCGCAUUCCGCAUUCCGCUUCUCGCCGCAUACGUCCGCGUGUGAACGAAUCCGUGAAUCCGCAUAUCUGUGUAGAUCCGCAGAUGUUAUACAAUACAAUGCCGAGGUAGCCAACUGACUGACCCGCAGCAAAGGUCAAGCCGAUACGCGCUAAUCAGACUUCCGAUCCAAGUGCAAACUCCCCAGCGUUAUUACUUGCCACCCACUGUGCAGUUGUUAGUGCGGCAGUACGGCCAAAAACAUAUUGAAAAAGUAGUAGACAAAUUGAAAUUACAAAAUGGGUUGCAUGCGCUACUUGUCGGAGGCUCAUUUGCGGGGCUUCGAGCGUUAUAAGUACAGCAGUAUAGACACGAGCUUCCUCAGCGUCUAUGUGAUGCACCCGUUUUGGAACUACUGUGUGAAGUUUGUUCCCAAAUGGCUGGCGCCCAACGUUCUGACCUUCGUGGGUUUUCUCAUGACUGUCGUCAACUUCAUCCUGAUAGCUUACUACGACUGGGGCUUUGAUGCAGCCAAUUCAGAGACGGGAAAUUCGGUGCCCGCCUGGGUGUGGACAGUGGCGGCCAUAAAUAUACUCAUUUACUAUAACUUGGAUGGCAUGGAUGGCAAGCAGGCGCGAAGAACUGGAACGAGUGGACCACUGGGAGAGCUGUUCGAUCAUGGACUGGACUCCUAUUCCGCUGCCCUGAUACCCAUUUACCUAUUCUCCCUUUUUGGCACCCACGACUUGCCGCCGAUUCGCAUGUUCUUUGUGAUCUGGAACGUAUUUCUCAACUUCUAUCUUACGCACGUGGAGAAGUACAACACGGGCGUUAUGUUCUUGCCCUGGGGUUACGACUUUACCAUGUGGGGAGUGAGUGGCAUGCUGUUUGUGGCCACCGUCUUUGGACCUGAGAUGUAUCGCUUCAGCAUAUAUGGUUUCACUGUGGCGAACAUGUUUGAGUUCGUUCUAAUUGGUUCCGGCAUGGUCAGCAGUCAUCCGAUCAUAGCUAGAAAUAUCUACCUUUCCUAUAAAAACAAGACUGGAAAAAUGCGACCCAUGUGGGAGAUGCUGCGACCAUUCUUCGCUUUCGUCUGGCUCUUUGUGAUCACUGUAGUCUGGUCGUUCUUUUCUCGCAAUGAUGUGAUCAACCAGGAGCCACGCAUUUUAUGGAUACUCUAUGGCACUAUAUUUUCCAAUAUUGCAUGCCGACUGAUAGUGGCCCAAAUGUCGGACACGCGUUGCGAUGCCUUCAAUGUGCUCAUGUGGCCACUGGCCGCCACAGUGGGUGUUUGCUGUUUUCCCUACUACGAGAAGGUCUUCGACACGGAUCUGACGUCGGACACCGAACGCUGGAUACUCUAUGGGCUAACCAUUUUCUCAACUCUAGCUCACUGGCACUACGGCUACGGCGUGGUUUCUGAGAUGUGCGACCACUUUCACAUUCGCUGCUUCAAAGUAAGAAAAUCUAGCAGCCAAUCGGGUUCAGAUAUAACUCAACCACUUCUGCAGAAUAAUAACAAAAUCAAACCGUUGAAAAGCCAUUGAAACUAAAUCGCUCACUAACAAAAAUCACAUCAAAAAACCGGGGACAACCAAAAUCAACCAUCUUGUGAUAUAUAGUAUAUAUACAUAUAUAUAUAUAAAUGGGUUCCAAACAUUUAGCCCUCGCCUAAUGUCUAGGUUCUAAGUGGUCCAUACUCAAAUCAAAACACUAAACCGAUACUCGCCAUACGCGGUUUCUAAUGUGAUCACAAAACAGACUGUCGCCGCUGAGGAAGAGCUGCAGGAUGUGGUUGAAGACGCCAAACCUACGGAAAACGUCGAGGAAGUCUAGCUUUUGCCGGUUCUUCUGCAAUUGUGUUGUGUUUAAACUUUAAAUCGUUACCUAGUUCAGUUAAGACAAAUUGACAGUGUGUUUAGGCUUAAGCUCGAAAUUGAAACGAAAAUAUUAUUGUUAGUGCUAAAAGAAA